AGCCGAUGAAGGACGGGACUAACACCGAUAUGGUUCGGGGAGCUGUAAGUAAGCUUUGNACACCGAUAUGCUUCGGGGAGCUGUAAGUAAGCUUUGAUCCGGAGAUUUCCGAAUGGGGGAACCCACUGUUCGUAAUGGAGCAGUAUCUUUACCUGAAUACAUAGGGUAUUGAAGGCAUACCCGGGGAACUGAAACAUCUAAGUACCCGGAGGAAGAGAAAGCAAACGCGAUUCCCUGAGUAGCGGCGAGCGAAACGGGACAUAGCCCAAACCAAGAGGCUUGCCUCUUGGGGUUGUAGGACACUCAAUAUGGAGUUACAAAGGAACGGGGUAGAUGAAGCGACCUGGAAAGGUCCGUCAUAGAAGGUAAAAACCCUGUAGUUGAAACUUCGUUCCCUCCUGAGUGGAUCCUGAGUACGGCCGGACACGUGAAAUCCGGUCGGAAGCAGGGAGGACCAUCUCCCAAGGCUAAAUACUCCCUAGUGACCGAUAGUGAACCAGUACCGUGAGGGAAAGGUGAAAAGCACCCCGGAAGGGGAGUGAAAUAGUUCCUGAAACCGUGUGCCUACAAGUAGUCAGAGCCCGUUUAUGGGUGAUGGCGUGCCUUUUGUAGAAUGAACCGGCGAGUUACGAUCCCAUGCAAGGUUAAGUUGAAGAGACGGAGCCGCAGCGAAAGCGAGUCUGAAUAGGGCGUUUUAGUAUGUGGUCGUAGACCCGAAACCAGGUGAUCUACCCAUGUCCAGGGUGAAGUCCAGGUAACACUGGAUGGAGGCCCGAACCCACGCACGUUGAAAAGUGCGGGGAUGAGGUGUGGGUAGCGGAGAAAUUCCAAUCGAACUUGGAGAUAGCUGGUUCUCUCCGAAAUAGCUUUAGGGCUAGCCUCACGUUGUUAGAGUCUUGGAGGUAGAGCACUGUUUGGACUAGGGGCCCUCAUCGGGUUACCGAAUUCAGACAAACUCCGAAUGCCAAAGACUUAUCCGUGGGAGUCAGACUGCGAGUGAUAAGAUCCGUAGUCAAAAGGGAAACAGCCCAGACCACCAGCUAAGGUCCCAAAGUAUACGUUAAGUGGAAAAGGAUGUGGAGUUGCUUAGACAACCAGGAUGUUGGCUUAGAAGCAGCCACCAUUUAAAGAGUGCGUAAUAGCUCACUGGUCGAGUGACUCUGCGCCGAAAAUGUACCGGGGCUAAACGUAUCACCGAAGCUGUGGAUUGACAUCGUAGAUGUCAGUGGUAGGAGAGCGUUCUAAGGGCGUUGAAGCUAGACCGUAAGGACUGGUGGAGCGCUUAGAAGUGAGAAUGCCGGUAUGAGUAGCGAAAGAUGAGUGAGAAUCUCAUCCACCGAAUGCCUAAGGUUUCCUGAGGAAGGCUCGUCCGCUCAGGGUUAGUCGGGACCUAAGCCGAGGCCGAAAGGCGUAGGCGAUGGACAACAGGUUGAUAUUCCUGUACCACCUCUUUAUCGUUUGAGCAACGGGGGGACGCAGGAGGAUAGGGUAAGCGCGCUGUUGGAUAUGCGCGUCUAAGCAGUUAGGCUGCUAAUGAGGAAAAUCCCAUUACCGUGAAGGCUGAGCUGUGACAGCGAGGGAAAUUUAGUACCGAAGUUCCUGAUUCCACACUGCCAAGAAAAGCCUCUAGCGAGAUAAAAGGUGCCCGUACCGCAAACCGACACAGGUAGGCGAGGAGAGAAUCCUAAGGUGAGCGAGAGAACUCUCGUUAAGGAACUCGGCAAAAUGACCCCGUAACUUCGGGAGAAGGGGUGCUCUUUAGGGUUCAUAGCCCUGAAGAGCCGCAGUGAAUAGGCCCAGGCGACUGUUUAGCAAAAACACAGGUCUCUGCGAAGCCGCAAGGCGAAGUAUAGGGGCUGACGCCUGCCCGGUGCUGGAAGGUUAAGAGGAGGGGUUAGCUGCUAAGCGAAGCUCUGAAUCGAAGCCCCAGUAAACGGCGGCCGUAACUAUAACGGUCCUAAGGUAGCGAAAUUCCNUACGCGAAGCUCUGAAUCGAAGCCCCAGUAAACGGCGGCCGUAACUAUAACGGUCCUAAGGUAGCGAAAUUCCUUGUCGGGUAAGUUCCGACCCGCACGAAAGGCGUAACGAUCUGGGCACUGUCUCAACGAGAGACUCGGUGAAAUUAUAGUACCUGUGAAGAUGCAGGUUACCCGCGACAGGACGGAAAGACCCCGUGGAGCUUUACUGCAGCCUGAUAUUGAAUUUUGGUACAGCUUGUACAGGAUAGGUAGGAGCCUGAGAAGCCGGAGCGCUAGCUUCGGUGGAGGCGUCGGUGGGAUACUACCCUGGCUGUAUUGAAAUUCUAACCCGCACCCCUGAAUCGGGGUGGGAGACAGUGUCAGGCGGGCAGUUUGACUGGGGCGGUCGCCUCCUAAAGAGUAACGGAGGCGCCCAAAGGUUCCCUCAGAAUGGUUGGAAAUCAUUCGCAGAGUGUAAAGGCACAAGGGAGCUUGACUGCGAGACCUACAAGUCGAGCAGGGACGAAAGUCGGGCUUAGUGAUCCGGUGGUUCCGCAUGGAAGGGCCAUCGCUCAACGGAUAAAAGCUACCCCGGGGAUAACAGGCUUAUCUCCCCCAAGAGUCCACAUCGACGGGGAGGUUUGGCACCUCGAUGUCGGCUCAUCGCAUCCUGGGGCUGUAGUCGGUCCCAAGGGUUGGGCUGUUCGCCCAUUAAAGCGGUACGCGAGCUGGGUUCAGAACGUCGUGAGACAGUUCGGUCCCUAUCCGUCGUGGGCGCAGGAAAUUUGAGAGGAGCUGUCCUUAGUACGAGAGGACCGGGAUGGACGCACCGCUGGUGUACCAGUUGUCUUGCCAAAGGCAUCGCUGGGUAGCUAUGUGCGGACGGGAUAAGUGCUGAAAGCAUCUAAGCAUGAAGCCCCCCUCAAGAUGAGAUUUCCCAUAGCGUCAAGCUAGUAAGAACCCUGAAAGAUGAUCAGGUUGAUAGGUCAGAGGUGGAAGCNUCCCAUAGCGUCAAGCUAGUAAGAACCCUGAAAGAUGAUCAGGUUGAUAGG
rnacentral:rRNA from 1 species